CCUUCGGCCCCUCAAAUGCAGCGUAAUCAGUGGAUCAGAUCAAGGGGAGGCAGACGCACACAGACCUGGUCUCAGAUCAAGGUGCUGAGGAGGAAAAAAGAAGACAUUGCAUCAGUCCCGCCUCGACUGGAAAGUGAAUCCUGAUGCGUUAAUGUCAAAAGAUGAAGGAAAAAUGAUCUGGCUCUGAUCUGCUGCUGCUCUGUCAUCAUCUUGGACCAUUGGUGGUGGCCAGGGGGAGGGAGCGGAAGCUGCAGGAGACUUUUAUGGUUCCAGCUCUGGAGACAACCUGUUCACAGGCACCUCACUGCUGGCACUCUUUUAUGACAUCAUAAACCCCCCCUCCAUUUCCUUUGACCAGCCUUAGAUGCUGUUGCAACCUGUUUUGAACUGGAAGAGAGCAAGUCUAUCAAGAUGGUUCCACUGCAAUAAAGCAGAAUCUCAAAGCCCAUACCCAAGCCUAAACGCACCUCCUUAUUCUCUAGGCCUAUAACAUGAUCAGAACUGUCAGUUCCCCAAGGACAGAACACUCUGCCACUGUCUUGUGUCAUUAUAUCCCCCUGUUGUGCAACCUGACCUCUGUGGUCUUGCCCGAGUCUCUAUCCUCCUCCACUCCCUACUCCUCUGCACCCUGCCUUCUCUGUCACAUCGGCUCAGGGUCAGGGCCGCUGCCCCGCUUGCCUCGGUGAACAUUCAACGCUGUCGGUGAGUUUGGUUUGAGUAGCACAUAAACCAUCGACCGUUGACUGUGCCCCGCGGCUCGCACUGGCAACGUCACAUCUGAGCAAAGAAAAUGGAGAAAAGACCAAGAAAUGAACAAAAAAAGGGCAACAUGCAAAUCUCUAGAUGGAAACCACAUGCGCACAUGCUCAUAAGCGCCACUUUGUGUUCACUGUACCCAAAGACCAAAGGUCACAAUCAACAUUCAUUGCUGUCGCUGGGUUGGACUCUGUAAGAAAGCUCACUGAACAAUGAGUGCAACUGUGGCCCAGAUCUGCCUGACUCGCGUUUCAGCCAAUCAGACGACCGGAUGUGAAGUGCUCUGAUUCCUUUAUUUAUGUACUUCUUGUUUUUCACUUCUAUUUUUUGCCCUCUCUUCCUCCCUCCCCAGUGCCGAGAGUUUUUAGAGGAGGAAGGCAGAGAGAUAGGCGGCUCAAAUAGACUUCUGGCUGCCUGCUUGUCCUCAUCCUCCUCUUCUCUCCUCUAAUUGAUGGUUAUGUGUGCAGCAUGGGGGAAGGAAGCCGGGUGAAUGUGUAAUCAUUUGGAGUCUCUUCUCCUUUAGAUGUUUCAUCCCUCUCUUUUUUGUUUGUCUAAUUAUAUACUGAGCUCAGUUAAAUGUGUGUCUGUGCUGGCAGGGAAGGCAGAUUUGCAGAAAGGGAGGACAAUGGAAGGAAAGAGAAGAUUACAGCUUUGCAAAAAUUAAAUUCGAGUUUUGAGAUUAUUUCUCGCAAAAAUUCUCCUGUGCUCCUGCAGAUAUGUUUGAAUAAAAACAACUUUGCAAUGUAAAAAAAAAAAAAAAGUAUUUACACCCUUUUGAUGAAAGACUUAAAAUGAUCUGUUCUUGAAUUUCUUGCUGUCCUAUCCUUCCCGGUCUGUGUGUGUUUAAGCUGCUCUUCACGACAGAGGACUUGUCUACUGAUCUCAGGGUGCAAUGUGUAAUUUUACUGCAACACUGAAGCCAGCUCUCUCAAGGGGGAAAAAAAAAGCAGUCAAUAAUCCGCUCUUUCUUUACGGUCUGUGGCCCACCUUCUGUAAUGCUUGUACCGGUUAUUCAUCUGAGGUAAACACAGCUUAGAGCAGAUGUUUAUAAACGCCGCUGAGAAAGAUUUAAUACCUUUAAUUCUGACAGAAUAAAUUAUCAGCAAUAUUUGUAUUUUCUAGAUGACAGAAAAGGGAGUUUAAAUUUUUCUUUCUUUGUUUUUCUUUAAAUGCAGAAGUUUAUAUACGUUACCUAAUAUGUUUGUCAGAUUUGCUACGAUGCCUUUUUAAACUUUAUAAAUUGGGACCAACAUUUAAUUUUUUUUUUUACAACCUUCCUACAUUAGUUUGCUGGAAUUUUGGCCCAUUCCUCCUGACAGUGUAACUGAAUCUGGUUAACGGGCUGCUUUAAAAUCAGGUUUUUAUGGGACUUUUAGGGUAACUGUAGACCCAUUGUGCCCAAGAUAUCAAGUAUCUGGUUGAUAUCUUUAAAAUAAUCCCUCAAUAUUUCCUCAUAAAGUAAUUUUUUCCAUAUUGUGGAUAACUGCAUUCUCCUAACAGCUUUAUGAGGUGUUCUUUCAUUCUGGGGUUCUCGGCUAAUUUCAUUUGAUUGUUUCAUGAUGUGAAACAAAGAAGCUGUGUGCCUGAGGUGUUGCCUUGAAAUACAUCCACAGGCAUGCCUCUGAUUAACUCAAGUUAUUUAAAGGCAUAGCUAUAUAGAUGUUUGUCAGCCUUUAGCUUUGAAAAGAAAUAAAUGCAACGUUCAAAAACAAAACAUGUUAUCUUCGCAAGUUAUAAA